rnacentral:miRNA from 1 species
ACUGAACCGAAAAUGCAAGACUUGCUUUGAUUGUUUUCCUUCAAUUUAUUUCUGUGGUACUUACUAUAAUGGAACUCAUGUUAUUUACACUGUGUUAGAUCAAUACAUAUAACACUGACAGAAAACAAUUAAAGCAAGUCUUGCAUUUUCGGUUCAGU